rnacentral:rRNA from 1 species
AGAGCGAACGCUGGCGGCAGGCUUAACACAUGCAAGUCGAGCGGGCGUAGCAAUACGUCAGCGGCAGACGGGUGAGUAACGCGUGGGAACAUACCUUUUGGUUCGGAACAACAUAGGGAAACUUGUGCUAAUACCGGAUAAGCCCUUACGGGGAAAGAUUUAUCGCCGAAAGAUUGGCCCGCGUCUGAUUAGCUAGUUGGUGAGGUAACGGCUCACCAAGGCGACGAUCAGUAGCUGGUCUGAGAGGAUGAUCAGCCACAUUGGGACUGAGACACGGCCCAAACUCCUACGGGAGGCAGCAGUGGGAAUAUUGGACAAUGGGCGCAAGCCUGAUCCAGCCAUGCCGCGUGAGUGAUGAAGGCCCUAGGGUUGUAAAGCUCUUUUGUGCGGGAAGAUAAUGACGGUACCGCAAGAAUAAGCCCCGGCUAACUUCGCGCCAGCAGCCGC